UACGGGGGGAGCAAGCGUUGUUCGGAUUUACUGGGCGUAAAGGGCGCGUAGGCGGUCAGCACAAGUCAGUUGUGAAAUCUCCGGGCUUAACUCGGAAGGGUCAACUGAUACUGUGCGACUAGAGUGCGGAAGGGGCAACUGGAAUUCUCGGUGUAGCGGUGAAAUGCGUAGAGAUCGGGUGGAACACCAGUGGCGAAGGCGGCAUCCUGGCCCUGACCUGACGCUGAGGCGCGAGAGCGUGGGGAGCAAACGGG
rnacentral:rRNA from 1 species